AUGGAGUUUUCUCCUUAAGAAGGGUCUUAUCUUGUCCCUUCCUCUAACAAGUCUCUGGGGCAGAUCCAGAGGAGAUACAGUGGCAUGGUUGCAGCUUGCUUUUGGACCACACUAUAGAGCAGCAACUGGGGACUUCAAGUCCCCAAAGUGCUGAUUAUGUGACUUUUCUUGCUUAUGUAAGCAAAAUGUCUGCUGAUUAUGGUGCCAAGUGUGAUUUCAAAGCAAUUGACAAUGACAGGUUUGUCAUUCCUAUGGAGACAAAUAUGCCAAGAGAACAAGACGUUUCAUGCUGAAACCUGACUAGCAUACUUAUAUAAUAGCUACUUUGGGCCAUAGUGCCAAAAC